UUCUUUGGGGCUAUAGACAGGCUUUGUUUGACAUUUUUCUCUCACAGAGAACAAAAAUGUUUAAAAGUUUUCUAGUGCCAGGUUUAUAAAGCACAAGAAAAUAAAAUCAAACAAGGAUAAUUCAACUCCUUCCUGAAUUUAACUUCUCUAACCCACCUGUUCCCUCCCCUCCCCAAUACACACACAAAAAUUUGAUUUUCUCCUUUAAUCACACCAGUCACUUAACAUAAAACUGAUUUUAAAGCUUGAACUACUUGAAAAUAUUCCUGGAACUACUGUUAUGGGUAUGUGGCUUAAAAGAAUGAUAUCUUCUUACUUCUGGGGAUAAGGUUUGGCUAUUACUGUUGUUGUUUUGUUUGUUUUCCUGAAAAUGAUCAAGACUUUUCCUGUAGUUUCAGGGCCUAAGAACAAAAACAAAUAAUUCCAAAGGCUUUUCGUGGCCAGCUUGUAUUGCACUGAUACACAACACAUGGCUUUAACACUCAGAAAGUUGAGUUUACAGGAGGAGAUCCAAACAGAAAUACCUUAGCUGGGAGAUAGCAGGAUAUGAAAUUACACCUUUCCAUUGCACUAACAAUCGAUUCUCCUGACUACUCAGAUAUCCCACUUCUGUGUC
rnacentral:lncRNA from 1 species